GCCAAGCCGGCAACCACCUCACGGCCAUUCUUCUCCCUGCCCAGUCUCUUCCCCUUUGCGAUCUUUAUCCCCCAUGCUUUACUCCCCAAUAUCGCUCUCCCAUGGUAUGAACGGCUACGGGUGAGCGAAGCGACGAGUUGUCAAAGGUUGCGAGGUGUGAUUGGAGACUGAUGACCUCUCCCUCCCUCUCACGUCAGUACACCGCUCUAAUCCCAGUCCAUGGCUCCUCCAGGCUAAAGAAGAAAAUAUUGGAGUACUGCUUAGACAUUUUUGCAUGGUGUCGUCAGUACUCUGUACGCUUAAUUUCCUGAAGAGCUGAAAUUGGCGAUCAAAUUAUGCUGCAUUGCCGAUCAGGAAAGACAAAGUGGCAUGCAUUCAGCCCUCAUAUUGUUUGACUACAACACAUGUAAGCUUCGUUCAUUUAUUUUCAAUCUGUUCUUUGACCAAGGCUACAUUUCAGAGUAGAUCACAAAUAUUUUCUCUCCUAGCAGAUUUCCUAGAUAAGCCUGUUUGGAUGCCACUUUAGCAUUAAUUCACUACGAUGACAUCCUCUAUCAUUUCACCUUACUUUCUAACUUGGAUCCAAAGAUGCAGCCAACUAUCUUCCUCCUUGAACUGGUUUGUAUUAUUUCAGGUGGUAACAAGAUAGAGAAACACAUAUAAUUUCAUUACCAAGGUUAUUAAAGGAGAACCUGCGAUCGACUUUAUUUGGAACAUAUUAUAUGUUCUAACAUUUAAACUAAUUAUGAUUUUAUUAUAACUGUAACAAGACAGAGAAACACAUAUGAGGCUGAUGAAAGGUGUUGUUCAAUCCCUGAGCUAAAGUACUGGUCUAUGAUUUUCUGAGUUCUUAGUUUAAACUGUGUACAAACUAUGGUGCAAACUACUUUAAAUUUUUUGUGUUUUCUCCAUCUAGAUAAUACCUAUUGAAUUUUGCUUGACCAAUUUCAAUUUGUUAUUUCUUUCUGUUUCCUGCAACUUUUUGCCCACUAUAUUAUUCAAACUCUAUGCACAAUCAAAAAUAUUUUAAUAGGCAUUGGAUUGCUCAUUCUUAAACAAUUUGUAGGGUUGGGAUAUCUCCAUGUUUCUCUUCAGAAUAUGAUCCACUGCAUUUAUGUUGUUGUUAUACCGUACUCAUACUACUAUUUGGAACCACAUAGUCUUUAAUGUUUGGCUUCCGUACGCUACAAUACACUAGAUAUGUAUUAAAUCCCUUUUUAUCAUACUUCAGUAUUUUUUCUUUUGUGCAUCUUUCCUUCCCUUUGCGCGUUACCAGGUUUAUGAUAAACAUUAUCUUUCUCUAUAUGAUUGCCCAUUUUUAAUGUACUAUUCAAAUUUUCAAUUGGUGAUCACAAUAUUUAAUACUUAUUUUUCUUAUUUUGCUAUUCUUGAUUGUUUCUUUGUAGUGUAAGCAACCAUUCUUAUCAAGGGUUCCCGCCGCAACACGCGAGUUACUUGAGCGAGCCACCUGCUUGCCAUGGUGGACCGGCCCAGCGUGAGCGCCGGUUUCUCUAAGUGGCGCUUGAGGUGCCACAUAGGAGUCCUCGAGACAAAGCGGCCCCCAUUCAAUCUGUGCGUGGACCAAGUUCAAAUGGAAGCUCAUUCUUGUUAUUUUGGGUAAUCCAAAAAUAACCUCUCUGGACCAGCACCUUAGCCAACUUCUGCCUCAGCCUACAACAUUUUCAAAUAGGCUAGCAUCUGGCGCGAGAGCUAUGUCUCACCUAUUACGAGAUAUAUUCUUUUCUUGCCUCUCGCGCUUCCGCUGGUGGGCUGACCCAAUUACGUGCAUUCAUGCCGUUUUCAGAAGUUUCCUGGAAGCAGUUUUAGGUAGGUUCUAUGGACCGGUACAGGCAGUUUUA